rnacentral:rRNA from 1 species
CCUACGGGGGGCAGCAGUGGGGGAUAUUGCACAAUGGGGGGAACCCUGAUGCAGCGACGCCGCGUGGGUGAAGAAGCGCCUCGGCGCGUAAAGCCCUGUCAGCAGGGAAGAAAAUGACGGUACCUGAAGAAGAAGCCCCGGCUAACUACGUGCCAGCAGCCGCGGUAAUACGUAGGGGGCAAGCGUUAUCCGGAUGUACUGGGUGUAAAGGGGGCGCAGACGGCGAUGCAAGCCAGGGGUGAAAGCCUGGGGCCCAACCCUGGGAUUGCAUUUGGAACUGCGUGGCUGGAGUGCAGGAGGGGCAGGCGGAAUUCCUGGUGUAGCGGUGAAAUGCGUAGAUAUCAGGAGGAACGCCGAUGGCGAAGGCGGCCUACUAGACUGCAACUGACGUUGAUGCCCGAAAGCGUGGGGAGCAAACAGGAUUAGAUACCCUAGUAGUC